rnacentral:rRNA from 1 species
UGCUUUAUACAUGCAAGUCGAACGGAGGCCCUAGCUUGCUAGGUGUCCUUAGUGGCGCACGGGUGAGUAACACGUGGGAACAUACCUCAUAGUACGGAAUAACUGCGGGAAACUGUAGCUAAUACCGUAUAUUCCAGUAAUGGGAAAGAUUUAUCGCUAUGAGAUUGGCCCGCGCAAGAUUAGUUUGUUGGUAAGGUAAUGGCUUACCAAGGCUGCGAUCUUUAGCUGGUUUGAGAGGAUGAUCAGCCACACUGGGACUGAGACACGGCCCAGACUCCUACGGGAGGCAGCAGUAGGGAAUAUUGGACAAUGGGGGCAACCCUGAUCCAGCAAUGCAGCGUGAGUGACGAAGGCCUUAGGGUUGUAAAACUCUUUCAUCGGUGAGGAUAAUGACAGUAGCCGAAGAAGAAGGACCGGCUAAUU